GACGAACGCUGGCGGCGUGCUUAACACAUGCAAGUCGAACGGAAAGGCCCUGCUUUUGUGGGGUGCUCGAGUGGCGAACGGGUGAGUAACACGUGAGUAACCUGCCCUUGACUUUGGGAUAACUUCAGGAAACUGGGGCUAAUACCGGAUAGGAGCUCCUGCUGCAUGGUGGGGGUUGGAAAGUUUCGGCGGUUGGGGAUGGACUGGCGGCUUAUCAGCUUGUUGGUUGGGUAGUGGCUUACCAAGGCUUUGACGGGUAGCCGGCCUGAGAGGGUGACCGGCCACACCGGGACUGAGAUGAGGCCCAGACUCCAAUGGGAGGGAGGGGUGGGGUGUAGUGCACUAGGGGCGGAAGCCUGGUGCAGCAACGCCGCGUGGGGGAUGACGGCAUUCGGGUUGGAAACCGCUUUCGCCUGUGACGAAGCGUGAGUGACGGUAAUGGGUAAAGAAGCACCGGCUAACUACGUG
rnacentral:rRNA from 1 species